rnacentral:rRNA from 1 species
AGAGUUUGAUCAUGGCUCAGAUUGAACGCUGGCGGCAUGCCUUACACAUGCAAGUCGAACGGCAGCACGGGAGCAAUCCUGGUGGCGAGUGGCGAACGGGUGAGUAAUAUAUCGGAACGUGCCCAGUCGUGGGGGAUAACGUAGCGAAAGCUACGCUAAUACCGCAUACGAUCUAUGGAUGAAAGCGGGGGAUCGCAAGACCUCGCGCGAUUGGAGCGGCCGAUAUCAGAUUAGGUAGUUGGUGGGGUAAAGGCUCACCAAGCCGACGAUCUGUAGCUGGUCUGAGAGGACGACCAGCCACACUGGAACUGAGACACGGUCCAGACUCCUACGGGAGGCAGCAGUGGGGAAUUUUGGACAAUGGGCGCAAGCCUGAUCCAGCAAUGCCGCGUGCAGGAUGAAGGCCUUCGGGUUGUAAACUGCUUUUGUACGGAACGAAACGGCGAGCUCUAAUACAGUUUGCUAAUGACGGUACCGUAAGAAUAAGCACCGGCUAACUACGUGCCAGCAGCCGCGGUAAU